CCAGAAACAUCAACUGAUUGAUCAUCAGCAACAAUUUAACGAACAGGAAAAUGCUUCCAUGUUCAUCACUGGCGGCACUGGGGCUCCACAAUUUUUCAACCUUCCACCAUUAAUGGGGACUUAUGAUGAUACAUCAGCAUUUGAUAGGAUCCUGGAACUCAGUCAAAUGACCAAUGAGAAUCAGUUUGGGAUGUAUUCUUCAUCUGUUUCACCAGUUCUUGAACCAGUUUCUGCAGGUUUUUCAGGAUUCCCUUCUGUCCUUCGUGCACCUAAGAUGCAGGUUCCUGCAGUCAAUCAUAUUCAGUUCAUUCAAUCCGUCAUGCCAGAAUUCAACUCAUCAUCUUCCUCCUCGUCCUUCCCCUUGCUAGAUCAAUCCGUAGACAUGAUGGUGCUCGAAUGAAUUUUCUGAUUUAUGGCAGGAAUCAUUGAAUGCCAUGAAUUUAAUUUUCAAGGUUUAAAAAAAAAAAAUACAUAAAUGUUUCUAAUUUGGGAUUUUCUGAAGAAAUUUCCAAAUUAAUGAAUGUUCAUAAAUAAG
rnacentral:lncRNA from 1 species